rnacentral:rRNA from 1 species
CCUGACUGCUAUCGGAUUGAUACUAAGCCAUGCGAGUCUUUGCAGUAAUGCAAGGCAUACGGCUCAGUAACACGUAGUCAACUUACCCUAUGGACGAGGAUAAUCUCGGGAAACUGAGCAUAAUACUCGAUAGAUCAUAAUGCCUGGAAUGGUUUAUGGUUGAAAUGAUUCGUCGCCAUAGGAUGGGACUGCGGCCUAUCAGCUUGUUGGUGAGGUAAUGGCCCACCAAGGCGAUUACAGGUACGGGCUCUGAGAGGAGAAGCCCGGAGAUGGGUACUGAGACAAGGACCCAGGCCCUAUGGGGCGCAGCAGGCGAGAAAACUUUGCAAUGUGCGAAAGCACGACAAGGUUAAUCCGAGUGAUUUCUGCUAAAGAAAUCUUUUGCAAGUCAUAAAACCACUAGUGAAUAAGGGGUGGGCAAGUUCUGGUGUCAGCCGCCGCGGUAAAACCAGCACCUCAAGUGGUCAGGAGGAUUAUUGGGCCUAAAGCAUCCGUAGCCGGCUCUGUAAGUUUUCGGUUAAAUCCAUGUGCUCAACGCAUGGGCUGCCGAAAAUACUGCAUAGCUAGGGAGUGGGAGAGGUAGACGGUACUCGGUAGGAAGGGGUAAAAUCCUUUGAUCUAUCGAUGACCACCUGUGGCGAAGGCGGUCUACCAGAACACGUUCGACGGUGAGGGAUGAAAGCUGGGGGAGCAAACCGGAUUAGAUACCCGGGUAGUCCCAGCUGUAAACGAUGCAGACUCGAUGAUGCAUUGGCAUAUAGCCAGUGCAGUGUCGCAGGGAAGCCGUUAAGUCUGCCGCCUGGGAAGUACGUACGCAAGUAUGAAACUUAAAGGAAUUGGCGGGGGAGCACCACCAAGGGGUGAAGCCUGCGGUUC